rnacentral:rRNA from 1 species
ACUCAAAUGAAUUGACGGGGACUUGCACAAGCGGUGGAUCAUGCGGCUUAAUUCGAUGAUAAACGAAAAACCUCACCAGGGUUUGAAACGGAGACGACCGGUUUAGGAAACUUUACCUUUCGCAAGACGGCUCCGCAGGUGAUGCAUGGUCGUCGUCAAUUCGUGGCUUGAGUUGUUCCCUUCAGUGGGGUAACGAAUGUAACCCUCGUUGCUUGUUUUCUAUGUCAAGCGAGACUGCCCCCUCACGGGGGAGGAAGGUGAGGAUGACGCCAGAUCAGCAUGUCCCUCUGAUAUCCUGGGCUGCACGCAUGAUACAAUGCACUCGACAACAGGUCGCGACGGGGUAACCCUGAGCUAAUCCUUAUAAACGAGUGCCCAGUUCGGAUUGAGGUCUGCAACCCGACCUCAUGAAGCCGGAAUCGCUAGUAAUCGCGGGUCAGCUAUACCGCGGUGAAUACGUUCUCAAGUCUUGUACACACCGCCCGU